UCACGGACUAUCUACAAAUACUACAAACAGUGGUCUGAAGGAAAAUAAUAUAGAUCUGUCUCUGAAAUACAUAAAAACAAAAUGAAAAGAUAGAAGGGGACACCAAGGCCUGCGGACGCCUGCAGGACUACCUCGGGUCUCCUGAUGGACUGAAGGCAACAACCUCACUGUGGUCCAAAAGCUCCAGCACCAGGAUCUGCACAUAGUGUAGAGUGUAGUAUCAACACAACUGACCCCAUGUGUUAGUAAGUAUCAAGUCUAACCUCGGCGAAGUAGUGAUGAGUCUAGGACAAGACUACCAAAUAAACCUGUGCAGUUAUAUCAUAUACAACAAGCAAUAAUGACAGAAUCUAGCAGUUAUGGAUGGCGAGGGGAAACAUGCUCGGGGGAAUAGUACAAACAGGAAUUCAGUAAAGAAGCAUACGGAGCACCAAAAUUCAACUAUAAGCAAGAAUAAGGAAAACAAUCACAAGUGCAUGACAUCACCUUUCGUGCUUUUACUCUCGUUCGCACCAUAAGAAUCAAUAUAAUCGGCACGGCAUCAUCCUUCAUGCUUUUACCUCACAUAAUCAUGGCAUGACAUUAUCCUUCGUGCAUUAUCACUCAUAUCAUGACACGACAUCACCCUUCGUGCUUUUACAUUUACAAUAUCGGCACGACAUCACUCUUUGUGUAUUAACACUCACUCACGAAUAUCAUGUACGGUAUCACCCUUUGUGCUUUUACACUCAUCCAUACCCAAGCAACAAUCACAAAGCAAUUCGGGCAAGGGAAUCAAUAAAAUCACAAUAGGAUCCCGGCAAGGGAACAAUAGUAUAACAAUAAUAUCCCGGCAAGGGAAACAAUAUCAUGAGCAAUAACAUCCUGGCAAGGGAAAAAAUAUCAAAAGCAAUAACAUCCCGGCAAGGGAAAUAAUAUCAAAAGUAAUAACAUCCCGUCAAGGGAGAUAAUAUCAUAAAUCUCUUCUCUUUUCCACAAAUUACUUCAAAACUCAAUUCUCAACUUGAGCCAAUGCUCUACAAUGUGCAAUUACCAAGAAUACUUCCACAAGCCAUGUUCAACAUUAUAAAUCAUCAUAUUAAGCAUGGAUAAUACAAACGGAGUCACAUCAAUCAUAGUAUAAGACUCACGGGCAUGUUUGACACCGACGUAUAGAUACUCGUCACCAUACCUAUAAGUCGUACUCAACAAUUAAUACAUAGCAAAUAAGACACAACUCCUAAUCCCUCGAGCUAAGGUUAGACCAAACACUUACCUCAAUGUCACAAAUACAAUCAAGCCUCAACUACCUCUUACCCCUCGAUUCCACCACCAAUUCGCUUGUAUCUAGCCACAAUUUACUUAACAAUAUCAAUAAAUGCUAAAUGAAUCAAUUCUAAUGCAUGAAAAUAGGUUUUCUAAUUAUUUCCCCUACAAGUCAAAAAUAGACCCCGGGCCCACAUGGUCAAAACUCGAGGUUCGAACCAAAACCCGAUUACCCAUUCACCCACGAAGUCAAGUAUAUAUUUUGUUUUGAAAACAGACCUCAAAUCGAGGUCCAAAUCUCCAAAAUUUGAAAAUCCUAAGUUCUAUCCAAAAUCAUCAAAUUCCCCAUUAAAAACCCUUGAUUUUGAAUUGAAAUCAUGUGAAAAGAUAUUAUGGAUUAAAGAAAAUGAGUUAGAAAUGACUUACUAUUGAUUUGGAGAAGUUGAUGCCUUUGAAAAAUCGCCCAAGAUGUUUUUUGGGUUUGAAGAGUUGUAAAAAUGAAUGAAAUCCCGUCAAAAUCCCAAUUAAAUGGUCGUAGAUGUCGCAAUUGCAAUGGGAUGCGAAGCUCGCAAAUGCAAACCAGGCCUCACAUUUGCGAACCUGUGCAUGGUUUGCUUACCUCGCAACUGCGAAUGAAUCGUCGCAAUUGCAAUACUGUCCCUCCACUGAUGACUUCGCAUUUGCGAAGGAAGGUUCACAAUUGCGAACACUGGCAGGCCUGGGCUUUCUUCACAAAUGCGAUCAAGCCCUCACAAUUGCCAAGCCUGUUGGGCUCGCAAUUGUGAAGCCUGACCUCGCAAUUGUGAGAUCAGAGCCUGCAACACAACUGAACCUGCAACAGCCUUUUCUCUAAGUCCAAACUCACUUCGUGGCCUAUCCAAAACUCACCUGAGCCCUCGGGGCUCCAAACCAAAGCACACAAGUCCAAAAACAUCAUACGGACUUGCUCGUGCGAUCAAAUCAUCAAAAUAACAUCAACAACUAUGAAUUAAACCUCAAAUAUAUGAAAUCACUCAAGAACAUCAAAAUUCUCAUUUUCUCAAUUAAAGGUCCGAUUUAUACUAAACGAACUCCGAUUCUUACCAAACUUCACAAAUUCAACUUAAUUAUUAUAUAAGACAUGUAUCGGGCUCCGGAACCAAAAUACAGGCCCGAUACCAACAAUAUCAAACAUCUUUUCCUUUCUAAAAAAUCUUAUAAUUUCAGUUAAAUAAUUUCUUUCAAAAAUUUAUUUCUCGGGCUUGGGACCACGGAAUUCGAUUCCGAGCAUACGCCCAAGUCCCAUAUUUUACUACGGACCCUAUGAGACCAUCGGAUCACGGGUCCGAGUCCGUUUACCAAGAAUAUUGACCAAAGUCAGCUUUAAUCAAUUUUAAAGGCCCAUUUUCCUUAUUUUACUUAGUUUUCACAUUCAAGCUUUCCGAAAACGCGCUCGGACUGUGCACGUAAAUUGAGGUAAGACAAAAAGAGGUUUUUAAGGCCUCGAAACACAAAAUUUACUUUCAAAACAAGUGAUGAUCUUUUGGGUCAUCACAUUCUCCACUUCUAAAACAACCAUUCGUCCUCGAACAGACAUAAGAAAAGUACCUGAGUCGGAGACAAGAUGGGGAUAUCGGCUCCGCAUAUCGGGGUCGGACUCCCAAGUAGCUGCCUCGGUAGGCUAACCUGUCCACUAAACACGAACAAAAGGGAAACUCUUCGAUCUCAACUGACGAACCUGCGGGUCUAGAAUAACUACCGGCUCCUCCUCAUAGGACAAGUCCUUGUCCAACUAGACGGUGUUAAAGUCUAACAGGUAGGAUGGAUCGUCCUGAUACUUCCGAAGCAUGGACACAUGAAACACUAGAUGCACGGCUGAAAAACUCGGCGGCAACGCAAGUCUGUAAACCACCUCUCUCACUCAAUCAAGAAUCUUAAAAGGACCAACGAAUCUAGGGCUUAGCUUGCCCUUCUUUCCAAAUCUCAUCACGCCAUUCAUAGGCGACCAUGAAUGCCACGUCACGAUCCUUACAGUCGACAUAACUCUUUUACCUUGACUGAGCUGUACAAAGCCUAUCCGGAAUGAUCUUAACCUUGUCUAUGGCAUCCUGUACCAGAUCUGUACCCAACAAUCGAGCCUCUCCCGGCUCCAACCACCCAACCGGUGACCGACACUGCCUACCAUAUAAAGCCUCAUAGGGAGCCAUCUGGAUGCUUGAUUGGUAGUUGUUGUUGUAGGCAAACUUUGCUAAAGGCAAAAACUGAUCCCACGAACCUCCAAAGUCAAUAACACAAACUCAGAGCAUAUCCUCCAAAAUUUGAAUAGUACGAUCAGACUGCCCGUCCAUCUGAGGAUGAAAUGUUGUGCUCAACUCAACCCAUGUGCCCAACUCAUGCUGAACUACCUUCCAGAAAUGCGAGUUAAACUGCAUACCUCGGUCUGAAAUGAUAGACACGGGUACACCAUGAAGAUGAACAAUCUCCUGAAUAUAGAUCUCGGCUAACCUCUCAAAAGAGUAGAAAACUGCCAUAGGAAUACAAUGUGCUGACUUGGUUAUCCUAUCAAUAAUAACUCAAACUAUAUCAAACUUUUUCUGAGUCUUUGGGAGUCCAACAACGAAGUCCAUAGUGAUACGCUCCCACUUUCACUCAUGAAUCUAAAUCUUCUGGAACAAACCACCAGGUCUUUGAUGCUCGUACUUUACCUACUAACAAUUCAAACACUGAGCCACGUAUGCAACAAUAUCUUUCUUCGUCCUCCUCCACCAAUAAUGCUGCUCAAAUCCUGAUACAUCUUAGCAAGCAUCCGGAUGAAUAGAGUACCGAGAACUAUGGGCCUCUUCUAAAAUCAACUCUCAAAAUCCAUCCACAUUAGGAACACAAAGUCAACCCUACAUCCUUAAAACUCCAUCAUCUCCCACUGUGACUUGCUUGGCACCUCUGUGUCGCACUGUGUCUCUAAGGACAAGCAAAUGAGGAUCGUCAUACUACCGAUCUUGGAUACGCUCAAAUAAUGAAGAACGAGCAACUGUACAAGCUAACAUAUGGCUGGGCUCAGAAACAUCCAACCCCACGAACUGAUUGGCCAAAGCCUGAAGAUCCAAAGCAAGCGGUCUCUCAUCGACUAGAAUAUACGCAAGACUGCCCACACUGGCUAACUUUCUAUUCAAAGCAUCGGCCACCACAUUGGCCUUCCCCGGAUGAUAUAAAAUGGUAAUAUCAUAGUCUUUCAAUAGCUCUUACCACCUCCUCUACCUCAAAUUUAGCUCCUUCUGCUUGAACAACUACUGUAGACUCUUGUGAUCCGUAAACACCUCACACGACACGCCAUAUAAAUAGUGCCUCCUUCAGUGCGUGAACAAUGGCUGCUAACUCCAAAUUAUGAACUGGAUAAUUCUUCUCAUGAAUCUUCAACUAUCGCGAAGCAUAAGCAAUGACUUUACCAUCCUGCAUCAAUACCGCACCAAGUCCAAUACGAUAUGCAUCACAAUAAACUAUAUAUGGCCCUGAACCUGUAAGUAAUACCAACACCGGUGUCGUAGUUAAAGCUGUCUUGAGCUUCUGAAAGCUCGCCUCACACUCAUCCGACCACCUGAACUAGGAACCCUUCUGGGUCAACCUGGUAAUCGGGGCUGCAAUAGAUGAAAACCCCUCUACAAACCGAUGGUAAUCGCCUGCCAAACCCAAGAAACUCUGAAUAUCUAUAAUUGAUGCGAGUCUAGGCCAGUUCUUUACUGCCUCUAACUUCUUCGGAUCCACCUGAAUACCCUCUGUUGAAACAACAUGAUCCAAGAAUGCAACUGAGCUCAACCAGAACUUACACUUUGAAAACUUAGCAUACAACUGACUAUCUCUCAAAGUCUGAAGAACAAGUCUCAGAUGCUACUCAUGCUCCUCCCGACUGCGGGGGUAGAUCAAAAUAUCAUCAAUCACGAAUGAAUCCAAGUAAGGGUUGAACUCUCGGUUUAUCAAAUCCAUGAAAGUUGUUGGGGAAUUUGUCAACCCGAAUGACAUCACCAAAAACUCAUAAUGCCCAUACCGAGUGCGAAAAGCUGUCUUAGGGAUAUCAGAUGCCCUAAUCCUCAAUUGAUGUUAGCCAGAUCUCAAGUCAAUCUUCAAAAAUACCUUGGCAACCUGAAGCUGAUCAAAAAAAUCAUCAAUUCUCGACAAUGGAUACUAAUUCUUGAUUGUGACCUUGUUCAACUACCGAUAAUCUAUACACAUCCUCAUCGAUCUGUCCUUCUUCUUGACAAACAACACCGGUGCACCCCAAGGUGAGACUCUAGGUCUAAUAAAGCCCUUAUCAAGCAAGUCUUGCAACUGCUCCUUCAAUUCUUCAGCUCAGGUGGGGCCAUACGAUACGACGGGAUAGAAAUGGGCUGAGUGCCCAUAGCUAAAUCAAUGCAAAACUCAAUAUUCAUGUCAGGUGGCAUACCUAGUAGGUCUGAAGGAAAUACCUCAAGAAACUCACGAACAACAGGAACAGAAUCCAUAGAAGGAACCUCAGCACUAGAAUCACGAACAUAUGCUAAAUAAGACAAAUACCCCUUCUCGACCAUAUGCUGAGCCUUCAUGUAUGAGAUAACCCUACGGGUAAAAUGACCAGGAGUCCCUCUCCACUCUAAACGAGGUAAACCCAACAAAGCUAAGGUCAUAGUCUUGGCAUGAUAAUCCAAGAUAGCGAGGUAAGGUAAUAACCAUUCCAUCCCCAAUAUGACAUCAAAAUCAACCAUGUCCAAAAGUAAUAAAUCUACUCGAGUCUCAAGACCCUCAAUCACAACUAUACAUAGACACAAUCUACCACAAUAGAAUUACCCACCGGUGUAGACACAUAUACAGGAGCAUUCAAGGAAUCAUUAGGUAUGACCAAAUACGGUGUAAAAUAAGAUGACACAUAGGAGUAUGUAGAUCCUAGAUCAAAUAGAACUGAAGCAUCUCUACUACAAACCAGAAUCGUACCUGUGAUAACUGCAUCGGAGACCUCAGCCUCAAGCCGAGCUGGAAGAGCACAACAUCAGGGCUGGGCCCCACCAUUCUGAACUACAUCUCUGGGACGACCUCCUGUUGGAUGGCCUCCACCUCUAGCGGCCUGACCUCAACCUCUAAUACCUCUACCUCCACCUCUAGCACAUCUACCUCCACCUCUAGCUGGCUGAAAGAUAAAAAUCAAAUUGAAAUCAAAUAGAUCUCAACUUCCAUUAACAAACUUAUUCACUCAAAACCAUUUAAUAGCUCACCUCUUUUUAUUUACGAAAGCUAUCAAAAUUUCCAAGAUACGUAAUAAUAAUAAAAUAAGACGAGGAGUUAUACAUAAUAAUUAAAGCAUGGACUUCGCACAUGUACACUUAAACGUCCUUUUGAAAUUAAGAUCAACAGAAGACUAUGUAGAAUCAAUAAAAAUCAACUCAAAAUAACUAAGCAAAAAUCCAAUAAAGUAGUAUAGGCUGAUAAUGAAAAAAUCAAAGAUAAAGUAAGAAGAGAACCUCAAAACCGAGCCAAAACCAAUGAUUUCGAUUGAACAAUAAAAUCUCUGCGUAAAGUAGUACGACAAUUGUAUUGUUCGAAUAAGAGCGACAUCUAAAACUUGAAAAAAUUAAAGGACCUCCGUCGUAGCUCGAACGGAAAACCCGACUGACCUUGCCGACUCGAUCUCAAAACUACCCAUAUGACCUUGACGCUAAACCCGGCAUAAGAGUACUACUGUUUUAUGAAAAAGGAGACUGUUUUAAAGUGUUUUAAAUGGGGUUUUUCGGAGUUGGUUCAGCUCCAUUUUUCAGGGUGGUUUCAGCUGUGGCUUUUGAGUGAUUUUGGACCUGGUUUUUAGCUGAAAUUUGUUGCAUUUUUUGGGUGUAAUUUGUUGGAGUUUUGUGUUGUUCGGCAGCUAUUUUCUGGGUGAUGUUAUGCAGCUAUGUUUGCUGUGAUAUCGGUUGGUUUGAGCAGAUUUUAGAUCAUGUUUUGGGGAUGGUUCUCUUGGUUCAGCCAAUGAAAAAGCUAAGGGUCUCUUUUCUUAGGCUGAAGAAGAGGGGUGUGUCGAGGAAGAUGAUGUUCGGGGGGUGG
rnacentral:lncRNA from 1 species